UCGGCGGCCAUAGCGAGAGGGAAACGCCCGGCAACAUUCCGAACCCGGAAGCUAAGACUCUCAGCGCCGAUGGUACUGCAAGGGAGACCCUGUGGGAGAGUAGGACACCGC
rnacentral:rRNA from 1 species